UACGAAGGGUGCAACCGUUGCUCGGAAUCAUUGGGCGUAAAGCGCACGUAGGCGGCUUGCCAAGUCGGACGUGAAAUCCCUCAGCUCAACUGAGGACGUGCAUCCGAAACUGGCGAGCUUGAGUACUGAAGAGGAUCGCGGAAUUCCCGGUGUAGAGGUGAAAUUCGUAGAUAUCGGGAGGAACACCGGUGGCGAAGGCGGUUCUCUGGGCCUGUACUGACGCUGAGGAGCGAAAGCGUGGGGAGCGAACAGG
rnacentral:rRNA from 1 species